rnacentral:rRNA from 1 species
UACGGGGGGAGCAAGCGUUGUUCGGAUUUACUGGGCGUAAAGGGCGCGUAGGCGGCGUGACAAGUCACUUGUGAAAUCUCCGGGCUUAACCCGGAGCGGUCAAGUGAUACUGUCGUGCUAGAGUGCGGAAGGGGCUACUGGAAUUCCUGGUGUAGCGGUGAAAUGCGCAGAUAUCAGGAGGAACACCGGUGGCGAAGGCGGGUCUCUGGGCCGUAACUGACGCUGGAGGAGCGAAA